GGAGAUAACUGGGAAAUUUACCAACGUGAUUCAUAUGAACUUCAGCAGACAAGACCCUGCAGGUUUGUGGAUUCAAUUAGGAUGUCAGAUGAUUUCCAUAUUUUAGUUGCAUGCUUAAUGCUAUGUUCUGGUGGGAGGCCAACAUCUGGGGGUACAUACUUUGUUGUGCAACCAUUUCGAUACAUUCACAUGCUACUCCAAUGAAUAACUCCACACAGAUGAACAUCAAAUGUAAACCAUAACAGUUGUUCAUUUCAUCUGUACUUGGGUAGAAAUUUAGCUCUCAUUUAUCAGUGUGAUAUGCUCACAUGACAUGCAGUCACUUAUAAGUUCAUUAUCUUCACAAGAAACAACCAACUCUUGGCUAGCGAACCAUGCUGUAGUUCUCUGUGUGGGUGCUGACACCUUUAGUCAGGACUUUACUGUAACACUGGCUGUCCACAUACAUUAGUGGACAAACGGACACCCCAUGUAUUUGAGUGCAUUUCUUUCAGCACAGUCAAAGUCAAAACACACUAAACUGGUCACAGAAAUAUAAAAGAAACUUUGAGCAUCGAGUGGUUUUGGUAUCACUGAUCAACUAAUGAGUCCAGUUUCCAGCUUAAUCCUCCUGCUGUUAAUGUUAGAGUAUACACAGAAGGCCAUAAAAAGCAUUGUCCUUAGCAUGUACAGUAACUUCAGUCAAACAAGGUGGAGGCAGGAUCGUAGUUUGGGGAUGUAUGAGUGGCACACUGCGGGCUGAUGGCAGGACUUUUAAAUAUGAAUUUGAUGAUGUCAUAGUUGAAAUCAUGGCAUCCUGUUUUUAUUCAGGUGUUGUUCAUGUUCCAAUGGAAAAUUUAUGAUGACAUAAAAAAAUUGAAGAUAUUUGUUUGUGACUCAAGCAGAAUACAUUUAGAAUGAAAAAAAAAUAAUAAUACUUUUGAAAAAAUGUUUAAGUAUUUUUGUUGUUUUCGCACAGGGCCAGAGUCAUUAAUGUAUAAAAAAAGGAUGUGGUCUCAGUGAUGUCAUAUAACUCUUUUAGAGAUAACUUUUAGAGACAUGUUAUGUGAGACAACAGACAAUUGAAUUUCCCUUUGAGGAUCAAUAAAGUUUUUCUUAUUAUUAUUCUCUGGUUCAGUCAGGUCCACUUUGGUCAAAAGAAGUGAUAUUUGGCGGUAAGGCUGCAUUCUUAGAGCUCCCUGCCCUCCUACCUGCUUAUGAGUGACUGAAGUAAGGAAAAACACUGGAGGACUAGGAAUUGACAAAAGGGUCGACAGGCAAGGACAGUGCAGACAAUGAACCAAAAGAGAAGGAGUAAAUUCAAAAGACAGGACUAAAUUCACACAGGGAAACGAGAGACAGGUGAGACAAUAAGACACAAGUGGCCAAGUGGUGGUAAACUUUGAUCAAGGGCACUAGGAAAGGAAAAAUAGAAAUCAGUGGGGUUGAACACAAUAAAUCAAAACACAAUUCAAUAGUCCCAUAGUCACUGCACAGGCCUACUCCUGAUGCCGAUCAGUUAUCUGCAGGCUAGGGGGUGAAGAAAACCAGCAGACGUGAGGCCGUGUGUUGGGAGCAGCGAUUUACAGUAAAGCCAAGCAAUGCCAGGCAAAGCAAUGCAGGGUGUUGUUGAAUGAAGUGAGCUACGUCUAAGUCAAGCAAAGCAGCAGUGUUUCUUUAUCACAUGUACCCGAAACCAGUCAGUCUCAAUUAAUGCCAAGAAUCACCUGCGUGGGAGGGUGGAGGACGGCCGAGCUUCCUGCUCACCUAGCUGCAGUGGCCGAGCACGGCCAGCAAUGGAUAUGCACGUUAGAGCGGGGAUUCCCCAAGAGCUGCUGUGUCCGACACACACUGAGCUGCACCACUGCAGCGGUGGAGAAAACGGAAGUGAGGCAACCAGGAAGUGGGCGGACCCUCAGAGCCAAAGAGCAAGAGGGCGAAGGGAUGAAUUGGACCUGCCUAUAUAGACUGGCCUCCUGAGCUGAUUGGCUAACAAGAGAGCGCUAGGCAGCACAGGCACCAUGAGAGCAGGAGUGAUGAAACCCAUCCUGCUACACACAGGUACAGACAAUGGCUGCGUCCGAAUUGCCAAGUAGUAGUCGAAGUAGUUGUCGAAGUAGUAUGUAGCAUGUCCAAAUUGGCCACCGGAGCAAGUAGCAUGCUACUUCAGAUACUACUUCAGAUACUAGACACGCCCACAUUGUAGUAUGGUCGCGGUGCAACCGACGGGCAUGCUACUGACCCAAAAUGCACCGCAGGCUUCUUCGUCCUCUCAAAAGUUGUAGAAGCGCAUGAGAUGCUAGCACCACCAGCUGCUGCCUAUUUAGAUGCGUUGCGAACGCCGGCUGGCCACAGCAGCGCGCACCAUGGCGGAGCAGCAGCAGCAGCAGGCAGGACUGCAGCAGUACAGAUGUAAGUUUCAUGUAACUUCACACACUGUCCUAAAAGUGUGUGGUUGUAUCCCUUUGUCAUGUCAUGGUGUCAUAUUUGCCCAAGUAAUCAUUUUAUGAGCAAAUAUGUGGCGACAUCAUGGAGGUAAAGCUCACUUAUUCCAUUAUUAAACUGCACAGCUGCAGUAAUCAUGCAGCUCUCAAUGAACAAAUGAUCACCAUGUGAGUGAAUGAAGGCUAAAAGUAACGGAAAAGCUACUUUGUGAAUUUCUAAAGCAGUGCAGGAAUAUAAUACAGCAGCAUCCAUCACUUGCGCAAUUACCAUUAAAAGAGUCUAAAACUGUAACAUGACUUGGAGGGGACAGAGAGCAGACCCAAACAUUCCUCAGCUUUCUCCCUUUACCACUUUUAGCCAAGGUUUGUUCAUUCCAGUAGCAUGUGUAUUUCUCAGGGACGGACGAGCAGACUGAGCAUUUGAUUAGGUGACGGCUCAGCCAUGACCACCUGUUCACCGGGCGCAGAAACACGGCCAGAAAGGCAUUUGAGUAAGUCAAGCCAUUCAUAUGUUUCAUGAUUCUUCAUACAAUACAUGUGUCUAAUUGUUACCUCACAAUACACUGUGUUUGGCCUUCUGGAGGUUCUUGCAAGACAGCCCCAGCCUCCCGCCGCACAUCACGGCUGAGAGUGCCAAAAAAAAUGGGACAACCUGAAAGACAAAUAUCGAGUAUGUUGGGUCAACAUCUGUCAUCAACAGUCAAUCCUCCUGUUAAUUAUGAAGGUUAAUCUUGAUACUCUCAUGUCCCACAGAGACUGAAGGCUCCAAAGACAGGCGUCAGCACCGAGGGUGGUGAGGAUACAGCAGCAUCCUGGCCAUGGUUCGAGCUGAUGGAUGAGGCUUUAGGGAAGCGGCCCAACAUCACGUCACCAUGCCUUAUCGCAUCAGCUGGCCAGGAUGCUGGUGUAUCCUCAUCACCCUCAGCCACAGUGACGCCUGCAGAAACACCCUGCAACUCCCCAUCACCCUCCAGCUCCACCACAUGGCCCUCCAGCUCCACCACACGGC